CCACUGGCUACAUGCUUAACAUGGGAAAUGCAGGUAUCGUAACAUAAACAUAGUGCAAACCAUGGCAGUUCACGGUGGUUCUGACUGCCGCAGGUCAGGAAACAGACCAUAAUAUACCCAGUUAUCACAGUUUCUGGUCUUUAUUCAAUCCUUUGCCAAGUAGAAGCAAUGCAUGUUGCAGACCCAUGGCACUGUUGAUGCUGAUUAACGUAGUUUGAGAUCAUCACCACUUCCUAGGUUGGAUCCAGGACUAGGGUCUUGUUGUCUUCUUGCCUCCAUUUCCUCCCGAUGAGACCUGUCUCUGUCUUCGAAUUCACGGGUUCUUCUUCGAGCUUCUUCAAAGGCUUGUUGUGCCAAUGCAUCCUCCUGCUGUGCUCUCUCUUCAUCAAAUUCCAGGCAGCCCAUACCAUCCAGUCUCUGUAGAUCUAUCCAGCCUUUCCAGAUUACACAGACACCAUUAAGAAUCAUAGGUGCCUUCAAGUACACCUUGCCUCCUUCUCUCUCAAAGUCGACAUACUCCCGGGUUGGUGUCUGCCGCUGCUCCCCCUGCCAGCUGGCCGGAAAAAACUGGAGAGACAGAUUGGUUCCCGUGGCCACAAAAGCGAUCUCGGAGCGGCCGUCGCGGCAGGCGUUCUGGAAGCGGGCCUGCCUCUCCUCGUGGGGCCGGUCCCUGAAGCCGGUGUACUUGAUCUCGCACUCGCGGCUCAGCUUCCUGAAGAACUCCUCGUUCUCGAACUUGCUGCGCUGGUCGGGGACGACCCGCGGCAUGGUGCCGGGCCGCCGCUGCCCUCCGCCCGCCCCGCGCUGUCCCGGCCCCGCCACUCGCCUCGCCCUUUGUUAGCCCC
rnacentral:lncRNA from 1 species